GUACCCGAUGCUGAGGAAGACGGUUGCAACGAGCGGAUUUUGAUAUCGUAUUUCCUAUGAGUGGUUAUUUCACUACCGGAGGCUGUAUCUGAUGCAUCGGCUACAAGUGGGUAAGAAGAAGCACUAUCAUCAUAAGCAAUUCCAAUAUCGUUACCACAUUUUCUGCACUGAAGUUUUGUUCGCCGCUGGAACAAGCCCCAAGAACGUUUGGAGAAAAAGAACGGUACACACUUGAAUUCAUCAACCUGGGUAAAUCUGCUCUCAUCAAUGGACAAGAAGGAGAUCAUCCCUUUCUUAAUGGACUUCCCAUACUUGGACCCAAUGGAAGCAGUAUUGCGACUUGAUGAAUUAAGAUUUAACUCAUACCCACAACUGCCACAGCUGUAAGAGACGUCUCUUCUAGAAGAACCAAAAGAGGGAUUUUGAUGAUAAUUCAGAUACCCACUUGAUGUUUCCAUUAAUGCACCGAAAAAAUACAAGCGAUUAGCAAUGGCGGAGAAACUAAGAAAGGUGGUG
rnacentral:misc_RNA from 1 species